UAGUAACGUUUAACUGAUUCAAUACUGCUGAUGCUGUUUGAAAAUAACUAAAUUAUUCAAAUGUGUAAUCUAUGUACUUGCAUUUUGAUUGAUUAACAACUCAGUUACAUAGUUUUUGGUGCAGACUUGCAUAGUUUACCUCUAGGAGCCAGGCUACACCAAAACAAUGAAUAAUGAAUUGGGAUUAUAGCCAAACACGUUAUACAGGAAGCAUUUAUGGCACAUCUAGGGACGGUAUGCAGUUAACUGUGUGAUUGCUGUCAUUCACAGGAAGACUAGUGUCCUGAAGCAGAGGAUUUUGGACCCGGAUUUUCCCACACAGCUUGAAGUGACACCCCACUUGCCCUGGAGUCAUCGAAAAUCGCCCACAAAUACCUUCACCGCAGCUUUGCCAAAGCCAAAUGUGACACCACUGCACUGGACAAUAUGCACUCAGGACUCCAGCUUCAAGCCACCCCCCCUGAUAAAUGUGCCUUUUUGAGGUUGCAAAAUGCCUUUUUACGCUAGAGUUGCUUCAGCUUUAGUGGCGAGUUUCAAGUGAAUUUAAAGGGAUGUCUUUUUUCCUUACUGUACAUAUAGAAAAUAGCUUAUUCUACUACUUUUAAACUAACAUUCAGACUUUGUUCAGUAGACUCCCAAAUAGUUGUGCCAAACCACUCAAAUGUGCCAAACUAAUACUUACAAAUACCUCUCUGUGUGUCUUAUAUUGUGAAGUACACUACCAGUCAUAUUUUGGACACACUUUGCUACAAUGCUAAAAAUAAACCGAACUCAUCUAGUACAUACUUCAGUUAGACUAAACAAUAUGGUUCUAAGAUGUUGAAUUGUAGUUACUUACAACCACAGUGAAGUUGAAGUUAAAAUUAACACUGAAAGGACAUCAGUCACAAUUCCCUCCUUUUUCAGUCUAUUGUGUCUGAUUUCAGUCUGAAUGUGUGACGUCAGUUCUUGCUGGAAGCCAUUCUCUGUAGUCAGUUGGCAGUUCUAAUGCACUUUGUAUGUAGACAGAAAUGAAUGGUUGGAAAUUCCCUUAUUUACCAAUAAAGAGUGAGUUUUAAAGGCACUGUUUGCUUCAUUAUGUUCUGUUCUAAAAAUGGGCCUCACAUGUG
ensembl:lncRNA